rnacentral:rRNA from 1 species
UCAAGGAAGAAGUUUUGACGGUACUUGAGGAAUAAGCAUCGGCUAACUUUGUGCCAGCAGCCGCGGUAAUACAGAGGAUGCAAGCGUUAUCCGGAAUCACUGGGCAUAAAGCGUCUGUAGGUUGUGUAGCAAGUCUGCUGUUAAAGACUAGGGCUUAACCCUAGGAAAGCAGUGGAAACUACUAUACUUGAGUGUGGUAGAGGUAGAGGGAAUUCCUGGUGUAGUGGUGAAAUGCGUAGAUAUUAG